UGGUGCAUCCCUCCCCCAUUUAAUGGGGGAGGACCUCAAUAGGUGUGUCCUGCCAGUCUAUGAUCGAUCAGCAUGAGAAAAACACCAUGGACAGUUUGUUUGGGACUUCUGGUAAUCAUACCUGCUCUGUUACCCUUAGAAGCUUACAAUGAUCCUGAUUUGAGAUCUCCUGUAGAAGAAGCGGUUGAUGGUCCCUCCAACUCCAUACUACUAGCUACAAUCGUUACAGCACUUAUCGUUGCCGUGACAAUUGUUUUUGUCGCAUGUGUAGUUUGCAAAUGCUGUCGAAGGGAGAAGCGCUUGAAACCAAUUGAUGAUGGGGAUACUGAAACAGAUUCGCCAAAAGUUAGAUCUAAAGGGAGUGGCCGCCAACGUAGGAAAGUGACAUGAAAUAGAAAUUUUUUUAUACGCAGUAACGGGUUUGGCCACCUCCAAAUCAGCAGAUAGUCUACAUGUAUAUCAUUAUUGUCAUAAGUUAUAUACUAGCACUAUAAUAAUACAUUCAUGCCGUUGUCAUCCUUUCACUAGUUCUCGUGAACACCAAGACUCAAGUAAAAAAUUUAUCGCACCUUCUGAGUAUUGCAUAUAAGACUCGGUGAUAUGACUAGAUAUAAAUAUGUACAUGCAAGUACAUCAACAAUGUUUCCUAGGCGAACUAGUUGUAUUCUGUGUCGGGCUGAGUGCAUCCUCGUUCCCAUGUCGAUACCUGCAUCGUGUUAAAAACUGAAUAUACUGGUCUGCUGUAGUAGCCAACUUACAGAUUGCCAGGUGGACUUGGUCUUUUCUUGAGAGCUUUAUGCCCUUGACCUGUAGACAUCUUCCAGAGGAUAACCAUGGCAACUAGAACCAAGAGCCCACAAAAUGCGAAGAAGAGGAUGUUGUUUUGGCCUGAUGUUUGACCAGC